AUACGGAGGGGGCUAGCGUUGUUCGGAAUUACUGGGCGUAAAGCGCGCGUAGGCGGUUUUCCAAGUUGGGGGUGAAAUCCCGGGGCUCAACCCCGGAACUGCCCUCAAAACUGGAUGACUAGAGUCCGGGAGAGGUUGGCGGAAUUCCUAGUGUAGAGGUGAAAUUCGUAGAUAUUAGGAAGAACACCAGUGGCGAAGGCGGCCAACUGGACCGGAACUGACGCUAAGGUGCGAAAGCGUGGGGAGCAAACAGGAUGAGAUACCCCGGUAGUCC
rnacentral:rRNA from 1 species